rnacentral:rRNA from 1 species
AUUGAACGCUGGCGGCAGGCUUAACACAUGCAAGUCGAGCGGAGAGAGGUAGCUUGCUACUGAUCUUAGCGGCGGACGGGUGAGUAAUGCUUAGGAAUCUGCCUAUUAGUGGGGGACAACAUUUCGAAAGGAAUGCUAAUACCGCAUACGUCCUACGGGAGAAAGCAGGGGAUCUUCGGACCUUGCGCUAAUAGAUGAGCCUAAGUCGGAUUAGCUAGUUGGUGGGGUAAAGGCCGACCAAGGCGACGAUCUGCAGCGGGUCUGAGAGAAUGAUCCGCCACACUGGAACUGAGACACGGCCCCGACUCCUACGGGAGGCAGCAGUGGGGAAUAUUGGACAAUGGGCGGAAGCCUGAUCCAGCCAUGCCGCGUGUGUGAAGAAGGCCUUAUGGUUGUAAAGCACUUUAAGCGAGGAGGAGGCUACUUUAGUUAAUACCUAGAGAUAGUGGACGUUACUCGCAGAAUAAGCACCGGCUAACUCUGUGCCAGCCGCCGCAGUAAGAC